rnacentral:rRNA from 1 species
AGAGUUUGAUCCUGGCUCAGAGCGAACGCUGGCGGCAGGCCUAAUACAUGCAAGUCGAACGCACCUUCGGGUGAGUGGCGGACGGGUGAGUAACACGUGGGAACGUGCCCUUUGGUUCGGAAUAAUCCGGGGAAACCUGGCCUAAUACCGGAUGUGCCCUUCGGGGGAAAGAUUUAUCGCCAUUGGAGCGGCCCGCGUCUGAUUAGCUAGUUGGUGGGGUAAAGGCCCACCAAGGCUACGAUCAGUAGCUGGUCUGAGAGGAUGAUCAGCCACACUGGGACUGAGACACGGCCCAGACUCCUACGGGAGGCAGCAGUAGGGAAUCUUGCGCAAUGGGCGAAAGCCUGACGCAGCCAUGCCGCGUGAAUGAUGAAGGUCUUAGGAUUGUAAAAUUCUUUCAGCGGGGAAGAUAAUGACGGUACCCGCAGAAGAAGCUCCGGCUAACUUCGUGCCAGCAGCCGCGGUAAUACGAAGGGGGCUAGCGUUGCUCGGAAUUACUGGGCGUAAAGGGCGCGUAGGCGGGUGUUUAAGUCAGAGGUUAAAUCCCAGAGCUCAACUCUGGAACUGCCUUUGAUACUGGACACCUAGAGUACGGGAGAGGUGUGUGGAACUCCGAGUGUAGAGGUGAAAUUCGUAGAUAUUCGGAAGAACACCAGUGGCGAAGGCGACACACUGGCCCGUUACUGACGCUGAGGCGCGAAAGCGUGGGGAGCAAACAGGAUUAGAUACCCCUGUAGUCC